rnacentral:misc_RNA from 1 species
GAAAUUCUCAAAAUAAAUCUUUUGUUAAUUCAAUUGGUUUCAUUUUGGACUUGGGGGUCUGCAGAUUAACUUCUGCUCCUCUUAAAUAUAUUAGCUGGAUCUCGGAGAGGUCGGUUCCACUCGGCGUGAUAAGUAUCACUCGCUGAGGACACUGUAAAAGGUGGCCGGGCUCACUGCAGAACCGCUUCUAAUAGUCCAUUGAAUUGGACAGCUAUUUAUGAUCUGAUCUCAAAUCAGGUAGGACUACCCGCUGAACUUAA